UGGGGGAUAUUGCACAAUGGGCGAAAGCCUGAUGCAGCGACGCCGCGUGGGGGAUGAAGGCCUUCGGGUUGUAAACUUCUUUUGCUCUGAACAAGGCGCACCAUGGGGUGUGUUGAGUGUAGGGGUUGAUUAGCGCCGGCUAACUACGUGCCAGCAGCCGCGGUAAUACGUAGGGCGCGAGCGUUGUCCGGAAUUAUUGGGCGUAAAGGGCUUGUAGGUGGCUGGUUGCGUCUGUCGUGAAAGCUCAUGGCUCAACUGUGGGUUUGCGGUGGGUACGGGCUGGCUUGAGUGCAGUAGGGGAGGCUGGAAUUCCUGGUGUAGCGGUGGAAUGCGCAGAUAUCAGGAGGAAUACCGGUGGCGAAGGCGGGUCUCUGGGCGGUUACUGACACUGAGGAGCGAAAGCAUGGGGAGCGAACAGG
rnacentral:rRNA from 1 species